GAUGAACGCUGGCGGCGUGCCUAAUACAUGCAAGUCGAGCGAACGGACGAGAAGCUUGCUUCUCUGAUGUUAGCGGCGGGCGGGUGAGUAACACGUGGAUAACCUACCUAUAAGACUGGGAUAACUUCGGGAAACCGGAGCUAAUACCGGAUAAUAUUUUGAACCGCAUGGUUCAAAAGUGAAAGACGGUCUUGCUGUCACUUAUAGAUGGAUCCGCGCUGCAUUAGCUAGUUGGUAAGGUAACGGCUUACCAAGGCAACGAUGCAUAGCCGACCUGAGAGGGGUGUUGGCCACACCGGAACUGAGACACGGUCCAGACUCCUAAGGGAGGCAGCAGGAGGGAAUCUUCCGCAAUGGGCGAAAGCCUGACGGAGCAACGCCGCGUGAGUGAAUAAGGUCUUCGGAUCGGAAAACUCUGUUAUUAGGGAAGAACAUAUGUGGAAGUAACUGUUCACAUCUUGACGGUACCUAAUCAGAAAGCCACGGCUAACUACGUG
rnacentral:rRNA from 1 species